UAGUGGCAGACGGGUGAGUAACGCGUGGGAACGUGCCUUUCACUACGGAAUAGCUCUUGGAAACGAGUGGUAAUACCGUAUACGCCCUCCGGGGGAAAGAUUUAUCGGUGAAAGAUCGGCCCGCGUUAGAUUAGUUUGUUGGUGGGGUAAUGGCCUACCAAGACUACGAUCUAUAGCUGGUCUGAGAGGAUGAUCAGCCACACUGGGACUGAGACACGGCCCAGACUCCUACGGGAGGCAGCAGUGGGGAAUCUUGCACAAUGGGCGAAAGCCUGAUGCAGCCAUGCCGCGUGAAUGAUGAAGGCCUUAGGGUUGUAAAAUUCUUUCGCUAGGGAUGAUAAUGACAGUACCUAGUAAAGAAGCCCCGGCUAACUUCGUGCCAGCAGCCGCGGUAAUACGAAGGGGGCUAGCGUUGUUCGGAAUUACUGGGCGUAAAGCGCGCGUAGGCGGGCUAUUAAGCCAGAUGUGAAAGCCCGGAGCUCAACUCCGGAACUGCAUUUGGAACUGGUAGCCUAGAGACCAGGAGAGGUUAGCGGAAUACCGAGUGUAGAGGUGAAAUUCGUAGAUAUUCGGUGGAACACCAGCGGCGAAGGCGGCUAACUGGACUGGUACUGACGCUGAGGCGCGAAAGUGUGGGGAGCAAACAGGAUUAGAUACCCUGGUAGUCCACACCGUAAACGAUGAAUGCUAGUUGUCUGCGCGCAUGCGUGCAGGUGACG
rnacentral:rRNA from 1 species